GAAACACUGAUUCUCAUAUGAUCACUAAAGUUAAGCAUCAUUGAGCCUAGUCAGUACCAAGAUGAGUGACCACUUUGGAAUAUUAGGUGUUGUAA